GAUGAAGAACGCAGCGAAAUGCGAUAAGUAAUGUGAAUUGCAGAAUUCAGUGAAUCAUCGAAUCUUUGAACGCACAUUGCGCCCGCCAGUAUUCUGGCGGGCAUGCCUGUCUGAGCGUCAUUUCAACCCUCAUGCCCCUAGGGCGUGGUGUUGGGGAUCGGCCAAAGCCCGCGAGGGACGGCCGGCCCCUAAAUCCAGUGGCGGCCUCGCCGUGAUCCCUUGCGUAGUAAUGCACCUCGCACCGGAGAGCGCCGUGGCCACGCCGUAAAACCCCCAAUUUUCAAUGGUUGACCUCGGAUCAGGUGGGAAUACCCGCUGAACUUAAGCAUAUCAAUAAGCGGAGGA
rnacentral:misc_RNA from 1 species